rnacentral:lncRNA from 1 species
GGAACAUCGGUAGUUUCGAUCAACUGAAGAGGGAGCUGGUUCGUUGGUUAGAUGGUAUAUUUGGUUGACUGCGAGUCAAAACUGAUAAGAAUGUUAGGGAAAUGAUGUUUGGACGAGAUGACAUAAGUUUGAUUGUUAUAAUCAGUUAGAAAUGUUCUAUUUUAAGUUUGCUUAUGUUGUAGUGAUAUUUGUUGUGAACCUUGUUGUAACAAAAAGAUAAUGAUAUAUAAAAAUCCAAGGUUACAAAAAUUAAAAGGAGAUACUAUCUUAUGAUGCAGAUGUUGCUCCUUGAUUCAGGCAGUUGUUCUUAUUGUCUCCUGGUUGAUGACAUAUACUACAUAAUCUUAUCAUUUUAU